UUUUUUAUUUAUGUGUAUGUGUGCCUGCUUAUCUGUAUAUGCACCAUAUGCUGCAAGUACCCUCAGAGGCCAGAAGAUAGGCUGGAUCCCUGGAGCUGGAGUUACAGGCUGUUGUGAACGUCCCUAUACAUCCCAAGAGUCCCACAGUCUUGAGCCACCUCCUCUCAGAAGAAUUGUGAACUUCAAAGGGAAAAUGGUAGCUUCUUACUGGGGAGCUCUGGCAGAAGCCACACAGUGAAGAGUGGAGCAUCACCAGCCAUGAGCAGCGCAUCUGCUGGCAGCUCCUGACAGCGUGGACGGGGACAGGCACACACCACCCACGAAGCGUGGUGGAGGAAGUAAGCCUGCACCAUGGGUUAGGCGACAAUCACACCUCAGCUGGGAGAUGGAGACAAGCAAGCAGCUUUAGUGUUGGUACGUAGGAGGAGGAAUGAUCAGGG
ensembl:processed_transcript Gm11642 predicted gene 11642